rnacentral:rRNA from 1 species
CGCAGAUCAGCAUGCUGCGGUGAAUACGUUCCCGGGCCUUGUACACACCGCCCGUCACACCAUGGGAGUCGGUAACACCCGAAGCCUGUAGUCUAACCGCAAGGAGGACGCAGUCGAAGGUGGGAUUGAUGACUGGGGUGAAGUCGUAACAAGGUAUC